UGGGGAAUAUUGGACAAUGGGGGAAACCCUGAUCCAGCAAUGCCGCGUGAGUGAUGAAGGCCUUCGGGUUGUAAAGCUCUUUUAUCAGGGACGAUAAUGACGGUACCUGAGGAAUAAGCUCCGGCUAACUUCGUGCCAGCAGCCGCGGUAAUACGAAGGGAGCUAGCGUUGUUCGGAAUUACUGGGCGUAAAGGGCGCGUAGGCGGUUUGUUAUGUCAGAUGUGAAAGCCCCGGGCUUAACCUGGGAACUGCAUUUGAAACUGGCAAACUAGAGAUCGAGAGAGGAAAGCGGAAUUACAAGUGUAGAGGUGAAAUUCGUAGAUAUUUGUAAGAACACCGGUGGCGAAGGCGGCUUUCUGGCUCGAUACUGACGCUAAGGCGCGAAAGCGUGGGGAGCAAA
rnacentral:rRNA from 1 species